AGAGUUUGAUCAUGGCUCAAGAACGAACGCUGGCGGCAGGCUUAACACAUGCAAGUUGAACGGGAUUUUGAGAUAGCUUGCUAUUUUGAAUGAGAGUGGCGCACGGGUGAGUAAUACGUGGGAACAUACCUAUUAGUUCGGAACAACUGAUGGAAACGUCAGCUAAUACCGGAUAAGCCCUGAGGGGGAAAGAUUUAUCGCUAAUAGAAUGGCCCGCGGCAGAUUAGGCAGUUGGUGGGGUAAAGGCCUACCAAACCAACGAUCUGUAGCUGGUCUGAGAGGACGAUCAGCCACAUUGGGACUGAGACACGGCCCAGACUCCUACGGGAGGCAGCAGUGAGGAAUAUUGGGCAAUGGGGGGAACCCUGACCCAAGCCAUGCCGCGUGAGUGAAGAAGGUUUUCGGAUUGUAAAGCUCUUUCGGGAGAGAAGAUGAUGACGGUAUCUCCAGAAGAAGCCCCGGCAAACUUCGUGCCAGCCGCGGC
rnacentral:rRNA from 1 species